CAAAGAUGGGGAAAUAGGGCUGCUAAAACUUCUGCUGCUAUUGAGAUUCACUAGAACCUGGUGGGGGACAACGGGAGGAAGAGUCGGUGCAGCUGGUGCUAUGCAGCCAUAUGGUCCAUCCCCGACAAUGGCUUUUUAAAGCUGUUUGCUUGCCAGCAGAAGCAGGAUAUGGAAAUGUAUGCAGAGUCGUCAUUUGAAGAAAUGGUGUUUCCUGUGCGCUGUGGUUCAUGUGGAAGCAGAAGAGAAUGUAUGUCAGCAUGCGUGCAUCCUCAAUAAGUAGGCAUAUUCAUAUUGCAUACUUCAUUGCUGAAGAAGUUGAGUCAGUCAAGGAAAUGAUGAAAUGAUGCCUGGAGCCUCAAGGUGCCUUUAGGAAUUGGAAGUUCACCUCCUCAUCUGAAACCAGUCAUUGCUGAUAUGUAGCUGUUGCAAAGUGAAGACCUACCCUUUUGCUCUUCUGCUGAAAUCCCAGGUCACUUUUUCAGGAUCGGCAGACUCGCAAGGAACAGGCUCAAGCUUCCCAAAGGAAUGAUCAGGAAUCACAGGUCUACAAAUGUAACAGUGUAAAGACUAUGGCAGCUCCAAAGAAAUGGCAUCUUCAUCUCUGCAGACUUCAUCAGCAAAAAGAUGAGUAGUAUCACAGUAUUCCAAGUAUUGUAAGUAAAUACUCUUAAAUUCUUCCUUCUAUGUAUAUGUAAGUUCUGAUUCAUAGAAAUUACAUAG